rnacentral:misc_RNA from 1 species
GUCCGUGCUCUGUUUACAUUGAAAAAAAUACUCAGCUGAAUAACUUUUGAUCUUUAACCUCCAGAAUUUUUCAGAUGGAACCAAGGGUAGAUAGUGGCCUCCGAGCUGUUUCUUUACUUACAUCUGUACCUUUGUUGAAUUACAUUAUCAUAGUGCAAGUUGGUCAUACAAUUUUGAUGCAAAAGUGAACCUGAAAACAUGAUAAAAUGUGGACGUCUCUGGAGAAAGCUCAGUGUGUGGGGCCUGGAGUUCCUGUUACAUAUACAGCACUUGACACUGCUUGUGAGAAAACAUUAUUAAUCAGCAUUGAUGGUGAACUUGGUCCCUAGCACCCACUAGUGGGCGUCUCCACUUCCAUAGCAGGCAGUAGACAGUUGGACCCUAAAAUAUUUAUAUUAGGGUUUCACAAAACUUUGAAAAAAAUAUUUGGUCAUACAAUUUUGAUGCGAAAUGGAACCUGAAAACCUGCUAAAAUGUGGAUACCAGUGGAUAAAGCUCAAUGUGUGUGGCCUGGUAUAUACAGAUGAUAUCAGAUACCGAAGUGCAAUGAUCCUUUCGGACAUGGAAUACAUCAUUUAUGGAAACAGUGCUCACAAGACAUUUACAGUGGGGUGUGCAGUUGAGAACAGUUCUCCAUCUACCCCUCAGCGCGCACCAGAAUUAUUCAAAGUGGGGCACUCUGCCAAUUCUAAGAAGCAGGCCAAAGAUGUCCUGGUAAGCAGCACAUUGUCAAUGCUGCGAGACAAACAAACAGCAAUGAAUGGGAGCAAUGAGGAUGACAAGUUGGGCGAAUAUGUUGCAGCUGAGCUGAUAACAACUAAAAAUAGAAAAUUAAAUGCAGAGGCAAAGUGAAUGUUAUCAUGAAUGCCAUCAU